rnacentral:rRNA from 1 species
UUGAACGCUGGCGGCAUGCUUUACACAUGCAAGUCGAACGGUAACAGGUUAAGCUGACGAGUGGCGAACGGGUGAGUAACACGUGAGCAACCUGCCCCGGACUCUGGGAUAACAGUUGGAAACAGCUGCUAAUACCGGAUACGAGCUGCGAAGGCAUCUUCAGCAGCUGGAAAGAACUUCGGUCUGGGAUGGGCUCGCGGCCUAUCAGCUAGUUGGUGAGGUAACGGCCCACCAAGGCGUCGACGGGUAGCCGGCCUGAGAGGGUGACCGGCCACACUGGGACUGAGACACGGCCCAGACUCCUACGGGAGGCAGCAGUGGGGAAUAUUGCACAAUGGGCGAAAGCCUGAUGCAGCAACGCCGCGUGAGGGACGACGGCCUUCGGGUUGUAAACCUCUUUUAGCAGGGAAGAAGCGAAAGUGACGGUACCUGCAGAAAAAGCACCGGCUAACUACGU